UGUUUGAGGGAGUAAUGAGAGAAUGAGUGAAAUCCAAAGGUAAAGGACGGGGUUGGUUGUUCUAACCAUAGAUAUCUAUAGUAUUGGCCAUUACUAUAGAUAUCUGUGGUUCUAACGCGCUGCAUUGAGCCCUAAACGCCAUUAUGAGCGCUUCGCGAGACAGAUGAAGUUUGGUCGCUCUCGGACUCCGUAGACACAACAAGUGUCAGUUGUAAUGACGUUUUCAGCGACGACCACCAGGGAAACUGCUGCGACGGCAAAACGGUGAGUGGGAGGAGGUAUAUAAAAGAAAUUACUGCGAUGAGGCUCUCAGCUCUGCCUCAUGAACUCCAAAAACUAAAGCAUCCACAGCCAGUGGCUGCAGGUGGAUCCACAACAUGAUGAUGAAUGGCUUUGCCCUCUUAAGGAGCUCUUGUCCCAUAUUGAAACUUCAGUGUUAAAGAUAACUGACACCCAGGAUGCACCUCUGCUGGAGCAGAUAAACCUGUGGAGCAGCAGCACGGUUGUUGGGACAAGAUGUUUGAAGAUUUCUGAAGAUAGAAGACGAGCUGAAAAGGAUUUAUUUCUCAACAACUUUCUGUUUUUUUUGUUUUGUUUUGUUUUUUUUAUUUUAGAUGUUUUAGAGUCAUCUUUUAGUAUAUUCAUUUUUUCUAAAUGUUUCAAAUUUUUUCACUAAAAAUUUGUAAUUAUUUUCUGUCUUGUGUUUUUUU